rnacentral:rRNA from 1 species
UAAAGCAUUUAAGUCGGGAAAGACAGGGUAGUGGUUAAUACCCGUGGAGGAAGACGGUACCGGAAGAAUAAGCACCGGCUAACUACGUGCCAGCAGCCGCGGUAAUACGUAGGGGGCAAGCGUUAAUCGGAAUUUUUGGGGGUAAAGCGUGUGCAGGCGGUGUCAUAAGACAGAUGUGAAAUCCCCGGGCUUAACCUGGGAACUGCAUUUGUGACUGGCGGGCUAGAGUAUGGCAGAGGGGGGUAGAAUUCCACGUGUAGCAGUGAAAUGCGUAGAGAUGUGGAGGAAUACCGAUGGAGAAGGCAGCCCCCUGGGCCAAUACUGACGCUCAAGGCGAAAGCGUGGGGAGCAAACAGGAUUAGAUACCCUGGUAGUUCACGCCCUAAAAGAUGUCAUAUAGU